rnacentral:rRNA from 1 species
CGAGGCGAACCGGGGAAACUGAAACAUCUCAGUACCCCGAGGAAAAGAAAUCAACCGAGAUUCCCCCAGUAGCGGCGAGCGAACAGGGAGCAGCCCAGAGUCAACAUCAAUAUUUACCGCAGGAGAAAGAUCUGGAAAGGCCGGCAAUAAAGGGUGAUAGCCCCGUAUCUGAAGCGGUAAGUGUUGUGAACUCGAAGAGUAAGGCGGGACACGUGUUAUCCUGUCUGAAUAUGGGGGGACCAUCCUCCAAGGCUAAAUACUCCUGACUGACCGAUAGUGAACCAGUACCGUGAGGGAAAGGCGAAAAGAACCCCGGCGAGGGGAGUGAAAUAGAACCUGAAACCGUGUACGUACAAGCAGUAGGAGCACCCGAAAAGGUGUGACUGCGUACCUUUUGUAUAAUGGGUCAGCGACUUAUAUUCUGUAGCAAGGUUAACCGCAUAGGGGAGCCGUAGGGAAACCGAGUCUUAACUGGGCGUUAAGUUGCAGGGUAUAGACCCGAAACCCGGUGAUCUAGCCAUGAGCAGGUUGAAG